rnacentral:rRNA from 1 species
ACGGGGGGUGCAAGCGUUACUCGGAAUCACUGGGCGUAAAGAGCAUGUAGGCGGAUUAAUAAGUUUGAAGUGAAAUCCUAUAGCUUAACUAUAGAACUGCUUUGAAAACUGUUAAUCUAGAAUGUGGGAGAGGUAGAUGGAAUUUCUGGUGGAGGGUCAAAAGACGUAUAGAUCAGAAGGAAAUCCGAAUGCGUAGGCGAUAAACAGGAACAUUAUUCACACUGAGAUGCUAGAGCGUCUCUAACAAAAAG